CAGUUUUUUUUUUUUUUCCUGUUUCGUUUGCUAUUUUUGAUUGAUAUUUUAAGUUCAGGUGUUUUGGGCCAAAGCAUUCGAUGUGGCACGUUUCGUCUUCAUGGGAAGGCGCUUUCAGAAAAAGCACGCAUGGAACUCGCAUAGAGCAAACGAGAGACACGAAUCGAGCCUGAACCGCUUCAUUAGAGUUCCCUUUAUGGAUACCAAGUGGCAGCAGCUGUCAGUCGUUUUGUGGGAGCCCCUCGCAAAGGCGGCGAAUAAGUGGUGCUCUGCGAGUAGCGUGGCCAUGCAUGGCUCCAAGGGAUUGACAUUGGACAGGGCCUGCGUGUGCCAACAAAAACAUGGCGUCAAAUCCAGGCUCGCGAAAAAGAUUCACUCUUCGUGAAGGACCUCCUUGUGGCGGUCUGGGAUCCAGCCCAGUUGCAAGGCCGAUCUUUGCAGGGGAAGCACUGCCCUUGGUUCCCAGACAAGCCAAGAAAGGAGCCCUUAACACUGUGGAAGUUGUCCGUCAUGCAAGCCUGCUUCAAGCGCCGUCUGGAAAAGCAAGGUUUCCCCGAGAGUGUCGUGUCAACACUGGUGAAACAUAUGAACCAUUACGUGGGGGAGAAGAUUGCCGACAUUGACAGAACAGCGAAAAGAUUGUGGCGCGACUAGACCGGAAAGGGCCAUCCCACAUUGUAUUUUUCUUAUUAAUAAAGCUUUAAAUCCAACUUU